rnacentral:tRNA from 4 species
GGGAGCGUGGUGGAAUUGGCAUACACAGCGGACUUAAAAUCCGCCACCUUCGGGUUUGUGGGUUCGAGUCCCACCGCUCCUACCA